rnacentral:lncRNA from 1 species
AAACGAUACCAAUGUAUCAUGAAAGAGAGUUUAAUACACACUAAUACAAAUGUAGAAUGUGUUUAGAAAAUUUAUAACAACACUAAAGAUCAUAGACUUAAGUAUAUAGAGUAUUUACGAAAAAUUCAAUAUUUUCGUAGGGGUUAACUCAUAGAUUUUGAGAAAAAUUAAAAAAUAUUAAAAUUUUGUUUUAACACACAGUUGCAUCAUUCACUAACAUAUGAUGAAGGUCAAAGAGGUUUGGAACUUUUGUUGUCUCCGUUUUUCUAGAAAAUAGUGAUUUAUUCAAUAUUUUCGUAGGGGUUAAAUCAUAGAUUUUGAGAAAAAUUAAAAAAAUAUUAAAAUUUUGUUUUAACACACAGUUGCAUCCUUCACUAACAUAUGAUGAAGGUCAAAGAGGUUUGGAACUUUUUUUGUCUCCGUUUUUCUAGAAAAUAGUGAUUUUAUAGUGAUUAAUCCACCAAUUUAGGGAGUAUUACGAAACUUUACUAAAUUAAUUGACAAAAAAAAUAAAACAAUGCUCAUGCAUCAUGAAAGAGAGUUUAAUAUACAUUAAUACAAAUGUAGAAUGUGUUUAGAAAAUUUAAAACAACACUAAAGAUCAUAGACUUCAGUAUAUAGAGUAUUUACCGAAAACUUCAAUAUUUUCGUAGG